UCCUAGACGAGAUGAAGUUUUUGAGCUGAGCCUCCUGAGACUGGGAGUGGGAGGCAUUGGCGUGCAGCUGCAGUGCAGCCAGGCAGAGGACAAGCAGGGAGAAUGAAGAAACGGUCUUCAUCUUUGGUGAGUCUCAGAUGAGAGUUAUCAUUUGCAUGCAUGGUUUUGGUUUAUAUAGGCGCUCUGAACCAAGGAGCAUUGGAUUCUUCGCUGUGUAAAUUUCGGGUACAAACAGCGUUGCAGGCUUGCAGCUGUGCCUGUGCGCUUGUACUAUGUGUAUGUUCUUGUUUCCUCUAUCUAAAACGUUGAGAGGUUCACAGCUUCUUUGCUCCGUGGAAACGGUCAUAUGAUUGGUCGAAUUGACGUUCGGCCGGGCAUUGAGAGCGAAAGGGGGCGAUUAGGACGUAUUUUUUCCCGUGUAGUGUAGGAUUUCAGACGGUUCUUUAUCUUCACAUCUCUUGUUUAGAACGAUGAUCCCCGCAAAAAGAAAAAGAAAAAGAAAAAGAAAUAGAACGAUGAUUUGGACGGUAACCAAUAGCGUUUCGUGUAUGUACUGUGCUCCCGGCACAGGUAUAUGCUUUGGUGAGAUGUACGGCAGCAAGGAAAUUUCCUUUCAGUGUGUGGGAGUGCCAAAUGGAGGUCUAAGGUUCUUUUCUUUUCUUUUUCUUUUAAUGCGAAAGUCUAAGGCUAUUUUCAAUGCAAUACUAAUUAAGUUUACCCCUAAAAAAAUACUAAUUAAGUUUCUCCACGGCAGCAGGGGCAAGAGCAUCGGAGCUGCGCUUCCUCUUCUUCGCCAUGGGGGGAGACUCUGGGGCUCCAGCACUUGAGGGCUAAGGGGGUGUUUGUUUUCAGGGACUUUUUUGUGUAGGGACUAGAAAAAGUCCCUCGAGACUUUUUUACCAAACGGGAGGGACUUUUUAGGGACUAAACUAGGUAUUUGGGACUAAAUGAAGAAGACUCUCAAGGAGAGUCUUUUUGGGACUUUUUGGGACUUUUCCAAUAAUGCCUCUCCAUGCACCCAUUGGCCCGCCACCCCAUGGUGUUGUUUGAUUGUUAUUUUUCUAUAUACUAGGGGCAACAUGGUCAUUUAAUAACCUCUAGGAAGGGACUAAGGACUUUUUAGUCUCUGGAAACAAACAGGGAGAGACUUUUUAGGGACUAGGGACUUUUUAGUUGGGACUAGAAAAAGUCCUAGGACUAGAGAACCAAACACCACCUAAAUCUACUUGAACAUUAACGCUAAUUAUUAGAUAACAGAAUCACGAGGAGCACAAAUGUUUGCAUCGGAGAUGCGUCACAUAUCAAUAAUCCAUUCACAUUGCUAAUGAAGUACCCAUACAUCUGGAUUUAUCACCCAACAGAGAACACUUUUUUUUAGAGCAAGCAAACUGCGCAACAUCUUGGGCUAAGUCGCCCAUUGCAGAAACAGCUACAAGAGCCGGUACAUCAUCAUCAGCUACAAGAACUUCACCCGCAGCGAGAGACAAGCCGAGCAUGGCUAGGUGGUGGGCAGCCAUAUUUGCCCCCCUCUUACAGUGGACAAAUUCACGUGAUGAGGAUCAAAGACUCGCUUGUACUUUGACAUCUUCAAUCACUUGGGCCUGCCUUGAGAAGUCUGGCGCACGCCGAUUAAGUGCUAGUUCCACCAGGAGCGCGUCUGUCUCGAUUAUUAGCCGCACCACCCCAAGUUCAGUCGCCAGGUACAUCGCCUUUUCCACAGCAUGCAGCUCCAUGUCAAAAGCAGACGCUACAUGUUCGGCUCGCCAACAGAGAACACUUGCGUGCAAGAGACCGGUUCUAGAAAGAAAGAAAGAAAGAAAGAAAGAAAGAAAAAUGCAUCGCUUGGCGAAAAGGGACCCUGCAUUUAGUCGACAGCAAGUCAUUCACCCAAUGGCCAGCAAGUGCCACAAAGAUUCUGUGUUCUUACAAGUGCAUACGCAUGCUCGGUUGAACUAAUCAGUGUGCAGUGCGAAACUUGUACAGUCGCAGAACGCGGGACAUGCCGAACUGUUACCACGGUUGGACGGGUGUGCGCACGCGGAGCAUACGCAUGCUUGGUUGAACUGUUACCAGGGGAGAGGGACCGGGUGGCUUUACCUAUGCCGGAGUCGGAGAAGAAGCGCCACCGGAGGCGCAGCGAGUGAGCGCCGCCGCAGGCAGAGCGGUUGCUCCCCGAAGGCACGACCGGCAACAACGCUGCGGUGCCCCUGUUGGCGGUUCGUCCGGAAAAGGUCCAGAUUGCAACACUUUUAUGUCCGCACAUAUCAGUCUAAGCUCUACAGAUUCAGGAGGUGCUCUCGGGUCACUUUUGCGGUUUAUGCCCCCAUUAGCUUGUAUCUCCGUCAAAUAAUCCUCAUUUAGGGUUAUCAUUCACUUCAUUUGGAUUAUUAAGAGGUCUUACCAUUUCAUGUUUUUUUUUUGCUUGGUGAGGUUUGCCAUCGAAUGAUGAAAUGCAUAUCCAAAGAUAAGGUAAAGAAUAGAUCUAUGUAGUAAAUAUAGAGGUACCUUGUUUUUUAUAUGCACGAAGCUCCCAUCGCAAUACUGAA